rnacentral:rRNA from 1 species
ACACAUGCAAGUCUACUUGAACUUCGGUUUGGGUGGCGGACGGGUGAGUAACGCGUAAAGAACUUGCCUCACAGUUAGGGACAACAUUUGGAAACGAAUGCUAAUACCUGAUAUUAUGAUUUUAGGGCAUCCUAAGAUUAUGAAAGCUAUAUGCGCUGUGAGAGAGCUUUGCGUCCCAUUAGCUAGUUGGAGAGGUAACGGCUCACCAAGGCGAUGAUGGGUAGCCGGCCUGAGAGGGUGAACGGCCACAAGGGGACUGAGACACGGCCCUUACUCCUACGGGAGGCAGCAGUGGGGAAUAUUGGACAAUGGACCAAAAGUCUGAUCCAGCAAUUCUGUGUGCACGAUGACGUUUUUCGGAAUGUAAAGUGCUUUCAGUUGGGAAGAAAAAAAUGACGGUACCAACAGAAGAAGUGACGGCUAAAUACGUGCCAGCAGCCGCGGUAAUACGUAUGUCACAAGCGUUAUCCGGAUUUAUUGGGCGUAAAGCGCGUCUAGGUGGUUAUGUAAGUCUGAUGUGAAAAUGCAGGGCUCAACUCUGUAUUGCGUUGGAAACUGCAUGACUAGAGUACUGGAGAGGUAAGCGGAACUACAAGUGUAGAGGUGAAAUUCGUAGAUAUUUGUAGGAAUGCCGAUGGGGAAGCCAGCUUACUGGACAGAUACUGACGCUAAAGCGCGAAAGCGUGGGUAGCAAACAGGAUUAGAUACCCUGGUAGUCCACGCCGUAAACGAUGAUUACUAGGUGUUGGGGGUCGAACCUCAGCGCCCAAGCUAACGCGAUAAGUAAUCCGCCUGGG